UACGUAGGGGGCUAGCGUUGUCCGGAAUCAUUGGGCGUAAAGCGCGUGUAGGCGGUCCGGUAAGUCCGCUGUGAAAGUCGAGGGCUCAACCCUCGAAUGCCGGUGGAUACUGUCGGGCUUGAGUACGGGAGAGGCGAGUGGAAUUCCUGGUGUAGCGGUGAAAUGCGCAGAUAUCUGGAGGAACACCGGUGGCGAAGGCGACGUCCUGGACCGGCAUUGACGCUGAGGCGCGAAAGCCAGGGGAGCAAACGGG
rnacentral:rRNA from 1 species